CGGCCGCCGAGGGGCUGCCGUUCUGCCUCCGACCGGUCGUGUGUGGGUUGACUUCGGAGGCGCUCUGCCUCGGAAGGAAGGAGGUGGGUGGACGGGGGGGCCUGGUGGGGUUGCGCGCACGCGCGCACCGGCCGGGCCCCCGCCCUGAACGCGAACGCUCGAGGUGGCCGCGCGCAGGUGUUUCCUCGUACCGCAGGGCCCCCUCCCUUCCCCAGGCGUCCCUCGGCGCCUCUGCGGGCCCGAGGAGGAGCGGCUGGCGGGUGGGGGGAGUGUGACCCACCCUCGGUGAGAAAAGCCUUCUCUAGCGAUCUGAGAGGCGUGCCUUGGGGGUACCGGAUCCCCCGGGCCGCCGCCUCUGUCUCUGCCUCCGUUAUGGUAGCGCUGCCGUAGCGACCCGCUCGCAGAGGACCCUCCUCCGCUUCCCCCUCGACGGGGUU
rnacentral:misc_RNA from 1 species